rnacentral:rRNA from 1 species
UACGUAGGGGGCAAGCGUUGUCCGGAUUUAUUGGGCGUAAAGAGCGUGUAGGCGGCCAGGUAGGUCCGUUGUGAAAACUCGAGGCUCAACCUCGAGACGCCGAUGGAAACCAUCUGGCUAGAGUCCGGAAGAGGAGAGUGGAAUUCCUGGUGUAGCGGUGAAAUGCGCAGAUAUCAGGAGGAACACCGGUGGUGUAAACGGCUUUCUGGACCAUAACUGACGCUGAGGCACGAAAGCGUGGGUAGCAAACAGG